rnacentral:rRNA from 1 species
GAUGAACGCUGGCGGCGUGCCUAAUACAUGCAAGUCGAGCGAACAGACGAGGAGCUUUCUCCUCUGACUUUAGCGGCGGACGGGUGAGUAACACGUGUAUAAACUACCUAUAAGACUGGGAUAACUUCGGGAAACCGGAUCUUAUACCGAAUAAUAUAUUGAACCGCAUGGUUCAAUAGUUAAAUACGGUUUUUCGUUCGCUUAUAGAUUGAUCCGCCGCGCAUUAGCUAGUUGGUAAGGUAACGGCUUACCAAGGCAAGGAUGCGUAGCCGCCCUGAGAGGGUCAACGGCCACACUGGCAGUGAGAAAGGGCACCGACUCCUAGGCGAGGACGCAGUAGGGAAUCCUACGCAAUGGGGGAAAGCGUGACGGAGCACAGUCGCGUGAGUCAUGAAGGUCUUCGGACGGGAAAACUAUGUUAUUCGGGAAGAACAAAUGUGUAAGUAACCAUGCACGUAUUGACGGUACCUAAUCAGAAAGCCACGGCUAACUACGUG